rnacentral:lncRNA from 1 species
CAGCGCUAAGGGUGGAGCCUCCCAUCAGAUAAGAUACCCAAAGCCCAGACACAAACUAAGACCCUGGCAGUGGAGAAGGCAGGACGAACCCUCAGGAAUGUGCCCAGACUGGGCUAAGGUUUCAGAAAAAUCAAAAAGACCCCCAAAGCCCCAGAGUCCAGCUGAGUCAAGUUCACAGCAGGACGACUGCCUCGGGAAAGCUGAUCCGGGAAGAAUCGGGAACCUAAUACUUCAGAGGGGCCCUGCAUCCCAGCCGGGACCACCCUGCGGAGACCCCAACGCCCCAACACCACAGUGCAGAGCUGCUCAUUCAAUACCUGGCCUAGUGGGCCCAACUAAAGCUGGGUGGGCCUUCUAGGUAAACCUGACCCUCAAGUCUCCUGAGCCUACCAUCCCACCGUGACCCAGACUGAGGUGGGAGCGGGUGAGCAAAGGCACCUGGGGCUCCCUGUUCUUCGAUGGCCUGGCUCCCCCUGCUGGAGAAACGGGGUAUGGCAUAGAUAGGGAAAAGCGAGCAAGGAGGAAAAGGCCAGAAACCAUCUUAAAGCUAUAUACACUCUGGGUAAAAGACGGCAAGAUUCUAUGGCCGGCCAAACUCAGUCUCCUAAGAUGGCCCCAGAAAGGAUUUGUGUUCAUGAGACUCCAUCACUAGGCGAAUCUGUGCGAAUUCUUGAUGUCGCAAACCCCGUGGUUCAAGGCUACACAAACCCAGGAGCCCUAGCAGGGGG